GACACCACUUUUCAUACUCAAUUAUUUCUACUUAAUUAAAAGUGUGGGAGUGGAUCGACAUCUCUGCUUGAUUUUUGAAUUUAUUGAGGGCAUAUUUUUCAUUUCAGUUGAUUUGCCUUUCCACGUGGAGAUACAGCUAUAUGGGUAUGACUUUUAUACCUUAGCUUUUCAUUGCUACAUCAACUAUACGUGACUUCUAUCUCCUCCCUUUUUAUUCCUCUCAUUAGAUCUUUCUACAUAUUCUUCAUCCUAAAUUGUUGUUCUUCUCCAUUCAAAAUUCUUCGCAGCUGCUACUCUAAUUGCAAGGAACAGGUGAUACUAGAAGUCCUGGAAGUUCUGGCAAAGGAGGUAGCCUUGGGAGAGGUGGAAUCAAAACACCUAGUGGAUCUUGAAUUGGUGGGUAAAAUGUAGGUUGGGAUUUGAAAUUGCAGACUUUUGAAGAUAUGUUGAUUUCUUUUUAGUACUUUGGAUGCUUGGCUUUUGGCUGCAAAGAUUUUGCUAAUUGAGAGGUUUGAAAGUAAAGAUACCAGCAGAGAAUAUGUGUCCUUUUUUCUCUUGACUUGAGAUGAAGAGAAGGUUAAGUUGAUGUCGACGCAAUAGCACAACACGGCUCGCUGCUCUUAAUCAGUUUCACAAAACAUGCCUUGAUUUUCUUGACAUGUUUUGCUUAUAUAUAUGUAUGAGAAUAUUAAUAUUUAUUGUCAUAUCAUAUUUAUUGGGCCCGUGAACGCACGGACAUCCAUCGUCUAGUAUGCUAAUGUUUAUUAGUCACCAAGAGUGUGAAUAAAAGAUGUUACCAUUAAAAAUAUUUUUCUGAAAAAUAAAUGAAUGCUUACUUAUUUUCUUA